rnacentral:rRNA from 1 species
UACGUAGGGUGCAAGCGUUAAUCGGAAUUACUGGGCGUAAAGCGUGCGCAGGCGGUUUUGUAAGUCAGAUGUGAAAUCCCCGGGCUUAACCUGGGACUGCGUUUGAAACUACAAGGCUAGAGUGUGACAGAGGGGGGGUGGAAUUCCACGUGUAGCAGUGAAAUGCGUAGAGAUGUGGAGGAACACCGAUGGCGAAGGCAGCCCCCCUGGGUUAACACUGACGCUCAGGCACGAAAGCGUGGGGAGCAAACAGG